rnacentral:rRNA from 1 species
UGGGGAAUAUUGGACAAUGGGGGAAACCCUGAUCCAGCAAUGCCGCGUGAGUGAAGAAGGCCUUCGGGUUGUAAAACUCUUUCAUCAGUGAAGAUAAUGACGGUAACUGAAGAAGAAGCUCCGGCUAACUCCGUGCCAGCAGCCGCGGUAAUACGGAGGGGGCUAGCGUUGUUCGGAAUUACUGGGCGUAAAGAGCACGUAGGCGGAUCAAAAAGUUAGAUGUGAAAUCCCUAGGCUUAACCUAGGAACUGCAUUUAAAACUAGUGAUCUAGAAUUUGGCAGAGGAUAUUAGAAUUUCCAGUGUAGAGGUGAAAUUCGUAGAUAUUGGAAAGAAUACCAGUGGCGAAGGCGAUUAUCUGGACCAAUAUUGACGCUGAGGUGCGAAAGCGUGGGUAGCAAACAGG